rnacentral:rRNA from 1 species
CCUACGGGAGGCAGCAGUGGGGAAUUGUUCGCAAUGGGCGCAAGCCUGACGACGCAACGCCGCGUGGAGGAUGAAGAUCUUCGGGUCGUAAACUCCUUUCGAUCGAGACGAAUGGCCCUUGGGCUAAUCACCAGGGGAAUGACGGUACCGAGAGAAGAAGCCCCGGCUAACUCCGUGCCAGCAGCCGCGGUAAUACGGGGGGGGCAAGCGUUGUUCGGAAUUACUGGGCGUAAAGGGCUCGUAGGCGGCCAACUAAGUCAGACGUGAAAUCCCUCGGCUUAACCGGGGAACUGCGUCUGAUACUGGAUGGCUUGAAUCCGGGAGAGGGAUGCGGAAUUCCAGGUGUAGCGGUGAAAUGCGUAGAUAUCUGGAGGAACACCGGUGGCGAAGGCGGCAUCCUGGACCGGCAUUGACGCUGAGGAGCGAAAGCCAGGGGAGCAAACGGGAUUAGAUACCCGAGUAGUC